ACCAUGUGUGGUGUAGGCAUGGGCCAAUUAUUGGUUUGACAGUUUACUGUGGUUUUGGAAAGUCAAGGGUUCAAUUGCCGCUAAAAGUGUUUGUUACCGAUAAUGUGCUUUGUUUUUGUUUUUUGAGAGGACUUGUGAGCACUUAACAAUCUGCAUCUCUGAAGUUAGUAAUGAGAGGUUAGUCACUUCUGUUUGUAAUCCUCAGCUGUUGCAGAGAGGGGAGGGUUGAGCAGUUACAUUGGGAGGGAGGAAGGACAGAGGGAGAAGACAGACUCCAGCACACUUACUGAUGCUUUUUUUUUUUUUUCUCAAGUAAUGUGCAUUGUCCUUAAAAGCAGACAUUGUCCUUAAAAAUUCAGACAGACAGACAUAAAUAAAUAAAUAAAACAUGGUGUCAGCAUGUACUAGUCAGCGGCGCAAGGAAAGAUGAGUAGCCUUCCGGUCUAUUCUAAAAAUAGCUUACCAGCAAUGGGACACUGUGACUUAAGAAGAAAAAUUAAAACAUAAGAGGAAUGAAAAUCUAUACAUAUUUUUUUAACUUAACAUGAUACAUAGCAAUAAAUGUACCGUAUUU